CUGCACCCUGCCUGCGGAUGCCACUGACUUUCUCUGAGGUCAGAACAACCUCUGACCAUCCAGCAGGCCUUCUGCAGGCUGUAUCUGGCCAGUGCUGGUACGGCAGACCCAGGGCACGGAAACUCUGAGACAAGCCGUAUCUAUUUUUCUGGGGAACUAUUCUUAUACAAAUAUUUGCCUUGCCUUUGGCUUUUAGGGCAGAAAAAAUAAUGGCUUUUUAAACCAAAAAUGCACUAAGGUCUUCAUGAGCUUGCUGUAUAAAAUUAAGAAAUUGUGCAUUAUAAACAAAAACAAAUGAAAGAAAGCAGGACCCUUGAAGCUCAUCUUUCACCGCAAAACCAUCAUGAAUGCCCCCCAUUCACACACCAUGUGACCCCAAAUGUAUAGCACAUAUAGGCAGCAAACAAACAAUGUCUCCCGACAGCUCCCCUCCUCCACUCUUUCACUUUCCUUUUGAAGAACAGAUGUCAAAGGCCAACUGCCUUCUUUGAGCCCCGGGAUAUGAAUGUUUUUGCAGGGAGUUUAGACUGUGUAGUUUGACAAGGUCUAAGGUCACUCUGGAGUCUUACAGCCAUCAAACUUCUUAUUCUUCACCUUGAAAUCAUCUGUGUUUUGAGACCUGUUGUCAGAUGGGGACACAUACACACACGCACACACACACACACACACACACACACACGGCAGGCAAAACUUACAUCUGGUGUUAUGAAAUUUGUUUUAUGCUUCUCCUUAACUGUGUGGUGUUUGAACAUCUUGGCUGUACAUCCUCUGACCUCCACUUUGUCAUGACUGCUAGGUGUUCUGGGCCUUCUCUGAUGGUCCAGCAGCAGAUGUGCCAUGCAGGAGACGUCAAAGACAUGUUCUGUUCCUUUGAAGUCUAUGGUAGCUCAUGGUGUCCAGGAUUUGAGAACUGUGGAGUCUGUAGCUGGUUGUGGCCUUCAGGGUAACGUGGAGGAGACUGACCUGUGAAAAGAGCCCAGGGCUACAUUUUCCAUCCUGGAAGUGAGCUCUUAUACUGACUUUUCCUCUGCUGCUCAUAUCUGCACACUCCUCCUAAUGUGCAUGCGUGCAUGCAUGCACACACACACACACACACACACACACACACAUGCACGCAUGCACACACACACUCCAGAACAGCAGAACCUUAGAGUCCCUAAUACCAGGAGAGUCUUCCUUGCCACACAACCCACCCAUUGUCUUGAAUGCGAACCUGACCUCCAGGUUGUGGAGUGGGCAGGCUGAGACACUCCUCAGCAUGUCCAGUGCUACCACAGAAGCCUCACAUGUUGGUACCUGUGGCUCUCUGAGGCCUUCAUAGAUGAGGAAAUUCUGAGGCUCAGACAAGAGCAUCUUCGGUGCAAAUAGAGCCAGGAGCAGAGUCUGUGCUAUACCUCAUUGUCCCUGUACAUCUCUGUGGGCGGCUCUCUAAAUAUGUCCAGUUGUGGGAUCUAGAACUCUUCACUAAGAUUCUCUGGGCUGUAAAGAUUCUUGGCCCGACUGCCUCCAACUUUCCCAGCAUCCAUAGCCCCUACACAAACACUUUCACAAUCCAACUUCCCCAAACAUAAAACCAACAGAGCCCUUUCCUGUCAUCCCCAGGGUCUAGGAGAUGAAUAAUGUCCUCAGACAGAUGUCCAUGUCAUAAUCCCUAGACCCUGAAAUGUUUCCUUGUUUUGGCUAAAAGGACUUUGCGGGGCCAUCAGCCUUGGGGUGGGGCAUGUGUCAUGUCAUCACAAGGGAUCUUUCAACUAAAAAGCUUUCCUAGCUGUGGUCGGGGUAGGUAUGGUUAGACAAACCACGUUUGGAAGCACAGCACUGCUAACUUUGCGUGGGGGGGGGGAGUAGAAAGAGGUAGGAGAAACCAAGGAGGUGCCCCUCCCAAGCUGGGAGGCAAAGAGCUCCCAGAAUGGUACACAUGGUACUUUGAGAUUAGCUGUAAGAGAUUCCCAUGGAUUUUUAGCACACAUGUGUGACUGAAAUCAAAAAAGUAGACCUGUGAUUUCUUCAGGAAGCUCCAUUCAGCCACCCGCAGGUCCUUCCCCGGUCAUUGUGCACACAUGUGCAUACAAUUACGCUGCUCCUCAACUCAGGGUGAGUAGACAAGGCUAGGCACAGUCCUGAGGAGGGAGAAGAAGGAUAAUGUUAGUCUUCUAAUUCUGAUACUGAUGAUAGCAACACCCUGGCCUUGGGCAUUCUGCUAAGUGCUUCACAGGUGGCAGCUCAGUCACUAUAAUGAUGCUAGGAGGCAGGUCAGGCUCCCUUUACCUAUGUCCCAUUUACCCAUUUUAUAGAUGAGGAAACUGAGACACAUAGAGGUUAAAUAACUUGCCCAGGGUCUCACAAUUAAGAAACAGCUAGAAUUGGACCUAGGCUAUCUGGGUCACAUUUUUCAUUUUGGAUAUUUUGUGUACACACAUGCGUGCACACACACACACUACUACCCAGUUCUAACCUAACCAGCCUUCUUCCUUCGGAUUCUCCUCCCUUCUCUUUCCCCUCCUACCUCCUAUCAUUACUGUCUAAGGGUUAUAAGAGAAGCCAUGGGUGCAGCUUUCUAGGGGUUUUUGUUGUUGGGUCUUGUCAAAGCUUUUGGUAAUGGAAUAUGUCAAGGAAAGAAAAGUUGCCGAUGUUUUUCAUUGCCUUUUACAUUUCCUUUUAUGAAACUCCACCCACUUCAGCUAGAUAAUUGGAUCGAUGUGAUGUGUUAUUAAUUGCACAUGGUGAGUCAAUGUGUGAGGCUUGGCACAAGGCUUCGGGCUUGUCAGCUCACAGAAGUGGGGACAUUCUGGCUUGGCAGGAAAGUGGACCGCAGCAGGGUCUUGCAGGUGGUCCCGCUCUUGGGGGGUGUUUUCCUGAGUUAGGCAGGCCGGCGACUGAUUGAGGAACUUUCCCGGUUUUCUGGGAGCUAGCAGCUGGCGGUUCCUACCCAGGUCCCUACUUGCCUAGGGGGAAGGCUGGGCUAGGCUGCCGGAACCUGUUAGUCUGGUUUGUAAGCUCUUUACCAGGCUCUUAGGGAAGGAGGGAGGAAGAAAGGAGGGGGAGGGGAGAUAGAGGAGAUGGAGGAAGGGUUAAUAGGAAAGGGGGUGAACAGGACUGUGAGGUCAAAGCAGGGGGGCAGUGCUAGAGGACCUGGAAUAGCAGGGGUCUUGUUUCCAUAAAAGUGCCUUGAGAAGGAGGUGUGCCAUGGAACACUCUCAGGAGCAUCCUGAGAAGGAGCUGGGUUACAUAGACAGUCUUUCUUCCUAUGCACAGGUACUUACAGACUAAUGGGCAAAAGAAUUAAGAUACAAGUCAUUUCCUAUUGUCACUCCCUACUACCCAACCUAGAGACCCCCGCCUUCUGCCUUCUGACUCACAUGAUUCUUCCCCGCCCCCUCCUUUCUUCCUUCCCAUAGCUACUUGGAGGCUGGCUCUGUGCUGUGGAUGGGGCUUAGAGGAGACCUUGGCCCUCUGUGUUUUAUAGCCUAGGGUCUCUUAGACCGCAUCUCUGAGUGGCAGCCAAGCUAUCUGAAGGCUGAGCAGGUGGGACCAGCAGAGACUCUCCACCCAGUACCCCAAGCCUGACUUACCUCAUGUCAGCUGACAAAGCAGGCUGGUGGCCCUAGCUGCUUGGUUGAAACAGUCAAGGCUCAGAAAGAGCAGAUGACUUGUUCAAAGGUCACAGGCAAUGGUGGGACUGAGACCUAGGUCAGUUUGACUCAAAACUCCACAGUCAUCGGCUAGAGCACUUGGGAAGGUAUUCCAGGCCAAUGAAGAGUAGGGAGGGUGUAAAGGUGUGGACACUUAAGGGCUGGGGCCCGGCGUUCUGUUAUGUGGGAGACCCAAGUGUGCACAUGUACGGGUGCCGGCUCCUGAUAGGGCUUCCUAAAGGUCUGAACAAGAUAUUUUGGGAGGGUCAGCGACAGUCAAAAAAGAUGCUGAAAGAUUUCCUCUGCAAAAUGGGAGGGCCUGAGAGGCAAAGUGGCUUGGUGCUUGGAGCAUGGGUCCCUGUGGAAGGCUGCAUUCAAAUCCUGACAUAGUCACUUGUUUCUGGGAGCAAGUCUCUUGACCCCCUAUGGCUGCUUUGUGAGCCCUAAGGAAGGCCUGUAGGCGGAGUUGUUUUCAGCACCGAGUAAGUGCCCUAUUUCGUCCAGAGCUGGGCAUAUGGUAAAGGCUGUCAAUGCCCAUGUUUUCUUUCAUACUGACAUCAGGGCUAGUGUGGAGUAUCCGGAAGCCUCAGGAAAGGGAACUCUAGGGCCAGGGCCUAGCAGUUCUGGGAGGUUGAGCUGGGCAGCCUUCCCCUCCCCGCCAAUGCCCAUUGUCUUUGCCCUAAGCUUCUGAGUGAUGGGAGGAGGGGAGGAGAGGAAAGAGAGGUUCCAAAGGUCACCCAUGGGGCCUGACUCUCCCAGGAAGCAAGGGCCACCACAGUCUCUGUCUCGCAGCAGACUCCAGCAAGCUGGUCUUGGGCAGGCUGCAUUCCUCUGCUGCUCUUCAGUGGACAUGAAGUUGGCCUGGUUGAGUCUCAGGACAGCUGGGCUUUUGCCUCUCCUGCCCCUGCAGCCGCCCAGUUGAAAAGAACAAAGGGUCUCAGGAGAAGCACCAUGGCCUCAGAGGUGCUGGCAGGUGCUGCGGUGUGUGCCCUCCUCACUCACGGGCAACUCACCCUGAUGUGUGGCUUUGGUUAGUUGUGCAGGAGCUGAUUGUGUUAGACACAGAGACACUCUGUGGCUAACAUCCCUAGCAGGCACAGGCUGUGGGAAAUAGACCCCGGGGAUACCGGUAGAAGCUGAAGAAGAUGCCUUAAUGCCUUUGAAACCAGAAGCAAGAAACUGGAAGAAACAAGAAGCUGUUGUGUCAAUAGACACUGGGUGGAAGUUUAACCUUUUUAUGGAGAAAGGGCCCCAUGAAUACUUAAGUUUUCCAGGUCCAUGAAAACCAUACACAGCCCAGUCUUUGCACUCCCUUCCUUCAAGGAUUGAGGUCUCAAGAAACAAAAGACUUAGAAGCUGGGUGCACAUGGCAUUGGGUUUGGGCCUUGGUUGUAUUACUAGCUCUGUGAUCUUGGCUAAGUGGCAUAAACUCCCCGGACUCCGGUUUAUUCAUUUAUAGAAACAGAUGACGAGUCUUCACAAGGGGACCUGGGAUGAAGUGAAAAGAAUCCAAUAUAGCAAAGUGAUUAAGGAGCUCAACCAAACAGAGAUGUGAGUGUGGUGUCUAAAGCCACUCACUUGCUAGACUCCCCCACUGCUUGCUAGGCUUCCCCAAUGCUUGCUAGACUCCCCCAGUGCUUGCUAGUCUCCCCCAAGCACUUGCUGUGGACCAUGCUUUAUGUUGGGCAUCUUAUCACUUGGCCUCGGCCUAUUCCCAGGUCUUAUUUACAAAUCUUGAUCCCCAACUCCUGUGCCUGCUUCUUCAUCACCACCCUUCUCCUUACUCCUGGCUCACAGAGACCCGGGGGUCCCUUCCUUUUCUUUCACAUCCUUAACCGCUACUGGCUCCUAAGACCCUGCUUCCCAGAUGGCCAGGCAGCUGACCGUUGACCCAGUAGAGCCCAGCUGUUAUGGCCUCACUGUUGGCUUCCUAUCAGUUUCCAAGCAGCCCCCUGUCCCAGUGGGUCCUACUUGGACCAGAGACCAGCAGUUCUUCUGCAGAGCCACACCCAAACUCAGAUGAAUGCUGUCUGGCUCCUUUUACAUUCUCUGGCAAUCUGCAGAAACUUGGGCCAGGCAACUUCCCACUUGAAAUGUUGACAAGUGCUGCCUCCUAAUAAAAUACAAGCCUGCUUUAUAUCUUUUUUUCCUGCCAAAGGCAUCAGCGGUGAUUGAUUGAUUGAUUUAGAGAAAUUAAAACAUGUCACAUAUUUUAUAAGCAACUUAACCAUCCUUGCAGGAACCUGAAUAACUGACAUAAAGAUGCUGGCUUUAAAUGUGGAAAUAAAUAUUUUUCAAUAUUCAAAUCAGUAUCAGAUAUGGAAAAAAAUGAAUAAGGAGCAAAAAUAAUUCAUUUUCUCUUAAGUGGCACUCAGUAUGUACUUCUGUAGCUCAGUGCAUACUUCUGUAGCUCCAGAUCUUUGGUCAGGACUGGAUAAAGAUGGAUGCAUAAAAACAUAACCACAAAUACAGUCAAAGAUGCUCAGUUCAGGGGCUGGACAGUGAUCAUGUCUUAAGAUCAUACCAAAUCUUGCCACUCCUCAGAACCUUCUAGAUCUUACUCACUUCUUUACCCCUAUCUUAUCCAAUGAGAUCCAUAUUCUCCACCUCUGAGACACAGCUUAUUCAUCCUUUGCUUGGAAUACCAUUUCCUCUGGAUUUUCUUGAACACGUGAUCUAGGAGGGUAGAAAUCCUGACUUCCUAGUGAUGUCUCACAUUCCGUAGGUGCUUGCUAAACGUUUGGAAAAUGUGUGAUCACUUUGUGAAACUUCCACUUAAGUUUCAAAACCUCCACCAAAUAUCUGCUUUCCCUACCUCGUUUUUAAAUUAUCUUUGUGCUCAAUAGGGCCUAGCACUAUAGUCUCUGCUUCCUUGCUGCUUUGUGUUGACUUAACUCACCUUAAAAAAAUUAUCAUGCAUAUGUGUGUUGUGUGUGUGUUUUGUGCAAGUGAGUGCAGGUGCCCAUGGAGGCCAGAAGAGGCACUUGAGUCCCCGGAACUGGAGUUAUAGACAAUUGUGAGCCUCCAUGUGGGUGCUAGGAAUUGAACCUGGGUCCUCUGGAAGUGCUUUUAACUCUAGGGGCCAUUUCUCCAGUCCUCUUUGUUUUUUACAUAUCUACAAAAAACAAGGGACAUUCUAGACUUUGGAGUCACCAGAUAUGGGAUGCAAUCUUUUUUCUGACCAUUCAUUCAUUUAUUCAUUCAUUCAUUCAUUCAUUCAUUCACACGUUCAACAGAGAGUUAUUGGGUAUCUGGCUCCUAUGUGACAAUCACUGGGAAUUACAUGAUGAGUAAAGACAGUGUGGCACCUGCUUCUCAGGGAAUUUCUCACAGGUGUACCACUGCCUUCCUAUGCUUUGAAUUCCUUAGCUGUAAUUUCCUUGGGAGCUGAUUAAGUCAGGAGGUACUGGGAGGCACCUGGUGCCUGUGAGGUGCUCUGUAGACUUUGCCCAGUCCUCAGCUUCUUCUGUGAACUAUGAGCUUUGCCUGGGGAUGGGGGAGGUGUCUGUUUCCUUUCUCUGCCCUCAGACAUAGUCAUUUCAGCUGCCACUGAGGGUGCCAGAGGGGCUCUUUGUGCCUGAUUUCUUGUGACAUUUUCUGACACACACACACACACACACACACACACACACACACACACACACACACACAAAAUUGGCAUGGUCAGAUGUGGCCUGGCUUGGCUGCACAGGCUGUUCCAAUAGCCACAAUCAUGUUUUCGGUUGGCGUGAGGCAGCUGUAGAGCAAUCAGGAGUGCCAGAACACCCAGGUCUAGAAGGACACAGGGUAGCCCUAAGGAAGAGAAGGACACAGGGUAGCCCUAAAGAAGAGAAGGACACACGGUAGCCCUAAGGAAGAGCGCUUGGUAUCUGGCCCCCAAGGUGGCUGAGACCCAGACAUGGUAUACUUUACCCAGUUUUGUGAGGGAGUUUGAAGAGAUGAGAUGGGGUUACAACUCCAGGAUGAAAUGAGGUAGUGAGGCCCAAUUCUAAGACUAAGUAAGAGAUAGGGUUUGAGUAUGUUGGAAUUCCACCUGCCUGUCAGAAGUUAUUAAUAAUUUCAUAAUAAUUUAGAGUGACAAAGCUCAGAAAACUGUGAAUGUGCUCUGUGUUAAAGACUGGGCCUUCACAAGAGGGGAUAGCUUAAAAUUAAGGAGAACAACUGAAAUUAUUAUUUUAAAAAAGAUCAACUACAAAUUUACAUUGUGACCCCAGGUUUCCACUCAACAUUUUGGGCUCAUCUAAAUAAUGUGUAGGCAGUGGGAAAGCAGUGCCUGUUUUGUGAGGAGAGAAGGCUCCCUUUAUGGUGGUGACUGGGUAAAAGGGGUAGUGGCCCAGAAACGGAGGUGGGAACACCAGAGAGGGGAAGUCAGGGGACAGCUCCAGCAAGGAAGGAAGGAAACAGUCCACAGGCCACGUCCCUCUCCCCCUCUGCCCCUGGGGCUCUUCUCUAGUUGCACUGUCAACCUGUUGUGUCCUGGAAAGCCCCUCAGUUCUCUUGACUGACCCUUUCCCAGGCUCUCCCCUCUGCUGCCAGUCCUCCACCUCUGCCAUGGUCCAUGGCAGACGCACAUUGACUUAGAGGCUGUCGGGUCCACCCUGCUCGUGUACUGGGUACAGUUUGCUGCCCCUGAAUUGCGUGUUUCCACUUUUCAUUUAAAAUGUUCGGUCUGACGUCUGUCUACUCAGCAGGACCAAGUGCUACCUGAGGGCGAGGCCUGUAUCCACUUUGGUGUCGCUGUCACCCUGUCCCUCGCAUAAGGACAGGCGCAGGUAUAGCAACACAGUAACUACCGAGGAAUGAAUGAAUGGCUGCCAGGGGCUGAUGCCUUUACCGAGCCUGGCUUCCUACUCAGCCAAAAACCUGGGCCAGAUGAGAACGUUCCAGUGGUCCACAAGAGCUUCUGAUUUUGGAAUCAAUUCCACAGUCAAGUCCAGAGCAUUGGGAAAUAAGGGCCUGUGUCGUCAGAAGAUGUCCUGGUGACGUGGGUACUGGGCACAACAAACCUAUCACAGCUUGCUGCGGUCACGCCCUAUCUUUUCAGUCUGCUCACAGGCUCUGAGGGCAGAGAUCAGUACAAGACAUGAGGGGACAGCGCCUUUCUGGCCUGCAGUGUGUGGGCACCUCAGCUGGCACCACUGCGAUGCCUGGAACAGGGAUCCACUUCAAGACACUUGUUUUCUCCUGUGUCUGGGGUCUGGGCUGGGUUGGCUCAAGGUCGGGCUUGGUGGAUGGUCAUCUGAAGAACCACACGUGGUCCCAAGUAUCAUGGUCUCAGGAAGUAGGGAUUCUCUCUCUCUCUCUCCCUCCCUCUCUCCCUCCCUAGCUCCCUCCUCCCUUUCUUUCUUUUUAUUGACCUUUUAGGUAGAAUUUAUUUGAAAGUCUGAUUCAAGUUACAAGAAUAUUAUUUUCUUUUAAGUAACUUUGGGAAGACAUCUUUUCAGUUAUCUCCAUGUUUUUAUUCCUGACACAUUAGAUUCCUCUCAGAUAGUUAAAUUUUAAAGGCAUCUUUUCAUAGAACAAAAAACAAAAGCUCGAUAAAAGUAACAACGCGUGCCAAUUUAGAAAAGGAUUUAUUUGUUUUUUUUUCCCCCAACAUAAUUUUUUUUAUUAAUUAUUUGGGAAUUUCAUACAAUGUACCCUGGUCAUAUUUGCUUCCCAUUCCUCCGAAGUCCACCCUCCCACCCCACCCCUACUCCCCACCAAAAAAGAAAAAGAAAAGAAAAAAAAACCUGUUGCCCAUAUACUCAAUGAAACAUGGUCAAACUUCCAGUGGCCAGUUCCUUAAUAAAAAUGGAGUGCUUCCCCAUCCCCACCCCUGCCUGAAGCCUUUACCUGUGAGGAGCUAUACUUCAGCAUCCCAAUCACAGUUUUUAAGGACUCUCUCCAAUAGUUUCCUGUCUGGACUGUUUAUUUUUAUUUUUAUUUUUUUGUGGUAGGAGGGUAAGGAGAGGUUGUCACAGAAGCCGUCAGAGUCUCGCAUUCUCUCAGUCAUCAAUGCGACUGCAAAAGAAGUUUCCUGGCCCAUAGCAGCCAACGCAACAUGGAUCAUGGAAUCCCACAUGGGGAAGCAGAGUUUCUUCGCGGAAGCUGAUGCCCCCCAAGGGCUCUAGUCUGUAAAGUGGAGGUUGUAUGACACACAGUGUCACCUCUGUAUUCCGGUGUUCAGAGGUGGCCCAGCUCAAGGGGACGGACCACAGACCCACAGAAGCACUGUGGGAGGACUUACGACAUCUGAACCGCCACGGAUGACUUCUGCGUGGUCGAUCUCUGGGAUCAGGCUGGCCCACGAUUACGCAAUAAACAGAAGAACAGAUCCACUUUCGAUUCAGCUUUCACAUUGCUACAGAGAAGCAUCGAUAAUAGGCUCACUCCUCAAGAAGCUAUAAAGUAUGGUUUCGAUCAACUGCGCUUUGGAUGGGGUUUGUUGUCAGCACUGGGUUUUAAAUGCAGUAAUGGAGACUCAGAGGGCAGAUCAGAUGGGGAGGAGGUCUACGAGUGAAGCCUGCUUCUUUGUUGCCGGUCUCUACAUUGUUUCCAUCCCUGGGUCUCCAGGUGACUGGUCUUUCUCAGAGAGACUUUUGAGUUGCAACCUCAUUGUACUGGUGAUAGAAUCACACCAGGUGCCCAGACCAUCCAGGGAAACGUUUUUGCUUGCCAUUUUCCUAAAUAUGCCAAACAUAGACAUACAUUCGUCUUCUGUCUGUGACUAUGAAUUCAAGACAUCCUACAGAGAAGGAAUGAGUGGGCUAACUAAUAAGGCGGUGGCUCACUGAAGCACUUUAGUGGGACUUGGCAUGUGUGGAAACAGUUCGGAUUUCUACCAAGGGAGAAAACAUUUUCUGCAAAGGAGCUGGCACCCUGCUGCAGUUGUUUGGAGCAGACAAACAAAUGGCCAUGGUGAAAUAAUAUUGGAGUUUAGUAGUUUCGAUGACUGAAUGAAUAAUGAAUGACCAUGCAUGCAACUCUACCUCUUGUUUCUGGCACCUUGGGUGAGGCAAGAUGAACAAAUCAUGUAGGGAUUUUCAACGGGUGAUGUGUUGAGUGGCCAACCACCCCAUGGUACUUCAUGAUGCUCCUGGCUGCAGAGUACUACUUGAGUUUGAAUGAGAAAUCUCCUUCACUAGCUCAUGUAUUUGAACACCUGGUGCCCAGCUGGCAUUGCUGUUUGGGGAGGCUGUGAACUUCAGAAGGUGCAGUCUGCUGGAGGAAGUAGCUGCUGGCGGCAGGCUUUGAGAUUCCGUCACUCUACCUUACUUCUUAUUCUCUGGUUCUCCUCAGUGUUUGAGGUUGAACAUGUGAUCUCACAGCUUCCUGCUCCAGCCAUUGGCUGCCAUACCACUCGCGCCAUUAUGGACUCUCUCUGUGGAACCAUAAGC